CCUACGGGGUGCAGCAGUGGGGAAUAUUGCACAAUGGGCGAAAGCCUGAUGCAGCAACGCCGCGUGAGCGAUGAAGGCCUUCGGGUCGUAAAGCUCUGUCCUCAAGGAAGAUAAUGACGGUACUUGAGGAGGAAGCCCCGGCUAACUACGUGCCAGCAGCCGCGGUAAUACGGAGGAUGCGAGCGUUAUCCGGAUUCAUUGGGUUUAAAGGGUGCGCAGGCGGGCCUUUAAGCCGGCGGUGAAAUCGCGGGGCUCAACCCCGCCGAGCCGUCGGAACUGGGGGCCUUGAGUGCGGCGGAGGCAUGCGGAAUGCGCGGUGUAGCGGCGAAAUGCAUAGAUAUCGCGCAGAACCCCGAUUGCGAAGGCAGCGUGCCGUGCCGCCACUGACGCUGAGGCACGAAAGCGCGGGGAUCGAACAGGAUUAGAUACCCGUGUAGUC
rnacentral:rRNA from 1 species